UACGGGGGGGGCAAGCGUUGUUCGGAAUUACUGGGCGUAAAGGGCUCGUAGGUGGCCAAUUAAGUCAGACGUGAAAUCCCCAGGCUUAACCUGGGAACUGCGUCUGAUACUGACUGGCUUGAAUUCGGGAGAGGGAUGCAGAAUUCCAGGUGUAGCGGUGAAAUGCGUAGAUAUCUGGAGGAAUACCGGUGGCGAAGGCGGUUCUCUGGGCCUUACCUGACACUGAGGAGCGAAAGCGUGGGGAGCGAACAGG
rnacentral:rRNA from 1 species